GGUCGAGGAAGGCGCUUGUUUGGCGAAAGAACGCGUCGCUGAUAUUCCCACGCUCCCUCCCGAACCCUACCCUCUCUGCUGGCGGCGGCUCCCCCGACGCCAUUCUCUUCCCCCCGAUCUCACCAAGCCUCUCCCGGCCACUCCACCCCACUCUUUGUCCCGUGGGUGUUGCUCUCCUGCAUAUCCACCAGUGGAUCGGCCUCUCCGAGACACAACCAUGCUCCCGCGUGAUGAAACCCUAGGGGCGGCGGCGAUCUGAGGCGGGAGGUGCUCUGCCGGCCAUGGUCGCUGGCGGAAGGACCUCUGGAGAUAGUGAUAGAUUGACAUCGACGGCGGCAACGGCCGGACAGGAAUCGGCCGACGCUGUCCAUCUCCUCCCACCCGUGACCUCGCCCUGAGCCUCCCCCUCACAGCUUUUUCUUGAACAUGGAGGAAGGACACGGCCGAACACAGACAACGACCGGCCGGGGGAAAGUUGUUCGAUCCACUGUUUCAGCGGUUGCUGCUCCAUCCAAUUUGGUCGGGCUGCUGCAGCUCCAGCCCGUGAAAAACAAGAAGGUUGAGAGGAUCUGCAUGGUAAUCACCCACCUUGGCUCGCGGGAGGUCAGGACAUCCAGGUGGUAAUCCCUUUUUGUUUGUGGGUUAGUACACUGGAUAAACAGAGUCGUCAAAAUAGAUUGGAUAUUUGGCCUACUCCUUUAACCAAUAUCUGUAUUCUGUGAUCAUAUACAUAUACUCAAGAUUUGAUGUUUUGUGAUUUGAUUCAGCAACAAAGCUCAAGGGCUCGAAAUGUUGCAGGCCAAUGUGUUUCCUUCUCUUCAUUAGAUCAGGUCCAAAGAUGUCUUGGGACAGAUUUUGGAUGUUUCUAAGUUGGGCCAUGUUUGCAUGUUGACUAACACAUCCGACACUUCUAAGAGGCUUUAUCGCUCUCUUAGAGAUGACAGUUUCAAUGCAGAUGAUAUGUGUGGACAAAUGGACUGGCAUGGUAUGGAACAACUGCCUCGUUUAUGUGGCUGAAGAAUACAAAUAUAUUAAUAAUUCUUUUUCUCUGAUCAUUUAGUCGUGAUAUAAUAGCUUACUGUCAGCCUUGUUAGAUGUAAUGUAGUAUAACUAAAAGAAUCUUUCCUUUUUUCCUUCCAUUUCCAGUGAUAGAUAGUAUUUCACAUUUAUUUUUCUCACAAAGCUCCAUGAAGGUGAGUUGUGUUUGUUGCAACACAUCUAGAGAUUAUGCUUGGGAAAACUCGCAAAGGAAGGUAUAAAUAGUUUUACAAGGUAAAUUCAAUUUUGCUUUCUUUUUUACAUGCAUAUUGGUAAUUUUGUAUAGAUUAAUAGCAAGUUGAUAUUUUUUAGCAGUCUUUGAAGGUAUCUAGGUACAAGUUGUUUGAUGUAACCUUCAUUAUGUACAAAGAUUAAUUGAUAUGAAUUUUUUUGCUGAUCAUUUCCGCUCAUCUAUUUCAAGUGUAAUAAAAUAAAUAAAUAAACCAUAUUUGUAAGGAAACAUGCCUCUACAGAUUUAUUAUCCCUUAAAUGGUUGAUAGCAAUAGUAAAUUGUCUUUAUAUAUUAUAUUGUUGUAUUCUUUCUAUCAUUCUAUAUGGUGUUCUUUUCUCACAUAUAGGAUUCCCUGUAUUUAUCAGUUGCCUAACUACAUUUGCAUAUUUUUUAUUUUUUCGGGUUAGUCCCUUUUGUUUUCUGUCUUAUUUACCACAUAGAGCUUUUUGUUAUUGUACUGAUCCAUACUGUGCUAGCACUAUUAAUAAGAUACAUAACUGCAGUGUCAGUUUUAUGUGUUACCAGUCAGUUUUAUGUGUUACCAGUUAUGUUUUUUUGUUUCCAUUUUGUUCAUGUUAUCUUUACAUAUUUUCUCUUUAUUGAAAUUCUCUUGCCGUGCUCAUAUAGAGAUUGUAAAUUAGUUCAUGUCCUGUUAUUUGUUAUUGCCUUCACAUUUGAUAUGGUUUUUUUUUAGCAUCUACCAACCUUCUGUAGCUUAUCAUUUGUUUAGUUGGAGCCUAACAAUUGGGCUAGAUUCGAUCCAAGAGGGAGGCUUAAGUUAUGUUCCAUGUAACACCUUGAGAAAAUAAUUCUUUAUCAUAGUUGUCUACUCUUCUAAAUUGUUAUCUCUUGAAAUGCUCUAAACAACUAUGAAACAUGUAUGCGCUGAUAUUACUUUUUUCGAUGGCAAAAGGGACGAUUGAUAGGGAUCUCAUCAUGAGAAGAGUAUCAAGACAGAGACAUGAUGGAGAGAAUGAAGGUUGGUGCUCGAUGCGUAUGACUGAGGUAAAGAAACCUUAUCUCUCCGUUGCUAUUACUGUGCAGUUUUUUUUGGAAGAAAUGAGGAAACAUAGCUCCAUAGAAGUUCAUCUGCAUAAUGUAAGUCAUAACUCAAGUUUUUAUUCUGUUAACGCAUGCCUGCUAUAAUCUUGUUCAUGCCUACGAAGUGCUCAGUAAAACUGCAUAAACAAUGUGGAUAAGAAUGAAAAAGGUAUAUUUCUGCGCCAAUCAAAUAUUAUUACCACGUGCCGUGAUUUCAUAUGCUAUAGUAAAUUUGAAUUAUAUAGUUCUGAAUAUUCGUAUUCUUGAUUUGUGGCCAAAUUAGUUUGUCAAUUUGUCUGUUGUCAGCUUAAUAUAAUGACAGGAAUAUUAGCAUGUAUUUUUUCUCUUUCUAAGGGAUCAAGGCAUAAAUUAAACCUUUUGGUCUCCUUUAACAUUUUUAUUUGCAGGACUGUCUGUACAAUUAUUGGAAUGGAUGAGGGGAGACAUAGGCGUAGUUGCAGCCAUGAUAUCCUUGAACGAAUGUACAACAAUAUUAGUUCCUGGUCUAUUAUUUUCUUCUCACGGGCUACCUAAAUAUGUCAGGGCCGCGUGACAAUAUGAUCUUUUGGUAUAUGUGUGUUUCUUUUCUCGUUUUUAUCUUUGGCAUUUCUCCAUUUCAGGGUGUUGUGUAUGUUAUCUUGUGAAAGCGCUGCCAGCGGGCUGAAACCUAAUGUUCACCAGUUUAGAUUUUCUGAAGACCUUGUUCUGAGAAAACAACAGAAUGGCAGAUGAGUUGAAAUGACUUCGUGUUUUGUUUUUCUUAUGUUUUGGUCCAUUCAUUCUGAUUUGUUGUAUUGGGCGAACUGGGCAUUUACAUUGGAAGCCUACCUAUUGAUUGGGAUAGAUUGGGGCACAGAGCACCAGUGAGGAGGCGCCCCAUGGGGCGCCCCAACCACUAGUUGGCAUAAAACUGCAGUUCACCAACUGUGGUCGUACAACGCGUUUGGUGAAGGAGAUUGAGACCAUCCUAUCCAUCCAAUUAUUUUCAACAUCUCCGCAUCAACGUUCACCGUGGGAUGAAACAAAUUACUGCUUUCCUUCCUUUACUACCCUGCUCCUUAAUUUUCAGAUCAAAACACAUUGUUGCUUUCUUAAUCCGUUACUACUACCUUAUCAAAUUAUUCCUUAUUUCCGUCAACAAACAGGGAAAGUGAUUAAGGUCAUCGUUCCACGCCUGGCACCCUCCACCAUACUUUGCGGCAGCAAGCAUAGGUCCCCAAUUCCCCGUCCAGUUGUGAUGGCAAGGAGUGAAGAAAGGAGAAGACCUUGCGAUCUCAAGGCCGAUCAAGACGGAUACGCUAUCAAGCGCGGGCAGAUCAAGCAGGUUGGCGAGGUGGCUGAUGAAGAUCUACUGGAAGAAAAACUCCCACGGCGUCGAGCUUCCUGCCGCUCCAUGUUCCGCCUACUGCAAUAAGAAGGGUGCCCGCUUUACUUCGUUCCCCUCCGCCUCCUCCGCACCAUCCGCCCGCAUGUAGGUAGAGCUGCAUCAGGAGUGGACUGUGAGUGUGCUUGUGAUGGUGUUGCUUGCGGCCUGGUUUGUGGUCGUCGCCCGUCGGAGUCAUGGCAGUCGUGUGGCGGUGGCAUCGAUGCACGGCCGAGCGGAGGGAGAAGGUUCAAGUUCGUCCUGGUUGAUGUCUCCUCGGCGCCAAGGGAUUGUAGGUGGAGGAUCUUCCCGUCGCGCUCCUUCUCUCCUUGCCUUCUUGGCAGCGGCGUGCGCAAGGGUUGAGGCCGGGUUGGCGUUCCACUGACCAAGGUGGGUGACAUCGUGGGCGCCCCCCCC